rnacentral:misc_RNA from 1 species
CCGAGUUAGGGUCCUCUGGGCCCGAACCUCCAACCCUUUGAAUACCUACCUCAUGUUGCUUUGGCGGGCCGUUGGGCCUGGCUCACCGUCGGCUUCGGCUGGCGCGCGCCCGCCGGAGGCCAACCAAAAACUCUUGUUUAUCGAUGUCGUCUGAGUACUAUGCAAAUAGUUA